rnacentral:rRNA from 1 species
GGGGGGUUCCACCUGAUCCGAGGUCACAUUCAGAAGUUGGGGGUUUAACGGCGUGGCCGCGACGAUUACCAGUAACGAGGGUUUUACUACUACGCUAUGGAAGCUCGACGUGACCGCCAAUCAAUUUGGGGAACGCGAAUUUACGCGGGUUCCACAACCAAACUGUGGGUUUCGGGUUUAAAUGAGCAUCGAAAAGGAUUGCGACCCCAAAAGUGGAUUGGGCGAAUUGUGUGAAUCAACAAAUCCUUGAACGCAGAUUGCUCCCGCCCGUAUUUCUGGCGGGCAUUGUCUGGGUCAACCUUCAUUCCACCCCACAAGCAAAAUUUGUUGUUGAAACUUUUGAUUUUUAUGGGUUCCACACAAAAUUUGUAUACAUACAGAGAUUUUAGAGGGCUCUCUGGGGGCCCCCCCCUGUUAUACGAGACGCGUUUACCCCCUUAGACAAAAAUUGGGGUGUGCACACCGGAUUGGGGAGUGAUAACCCCCCCGAGAGUUACCGCAUCACGUUCAGCGAGGAGAAAAGAUGACGGCGUAUAUCGAAUACGAUCGC